rnacentral:rRNA from 1 species
GCUGGCGGCAGGCCUAACACAUGCAAGUCGAACGCCGUAGCAAUACGGAGUGGCAGACGGGUGAGUAACGCGUGGGAACAUACCCCUCGGUUCGGAAUAACUCAGGGAAACUUGAGCUAAUACCGGAUACGUCCGAGGUUUUAAGCGACCUCGGAGAAAGAUUUAUCGCCGGAGGAUUGGCCCGCGUCUGAUUAGCUUGUUGGUGAGGUAAUGGCUCACCAAGGCGACGAUCAGUAGCUGGUCUGAGAGGAUGAUCAGCCACAUUGGGACUGAGACACGGCCCAAACUCCUACGGGAGGCAGCAGUGGGGAAUAUUGGACAAUGGGCGAAAGCCUGAUCCAGCCAUGCCGCGUGAGUGAUGAAGGCCUUAGGGUUGUAAAGCUCUUUUACCCGGGAAGAUAAUGACGGUACCGGGAGAAUAAGCCCCGGCUAACUUCGUGCCAGCAGCCGCGGUAAUACGAAGGGGGCUAGCGUUGUUCGGAAUUACUGGGCGUAAAGCGCACGUACGCGGAUCCUUAAGU